UCUGGUUGAUCCUGCCAGUAAUCAUAUGCUUGUCUCAAAGAUUAAGCCAUGCAUGUCUAAGUACAUGCCGAAAUAAGGCGAAACCGCGAAUGGCUCAUUAAAUCAGUUAUGGUUCCUUAGAUCGUUUCUUCCUACUUGGAUAACUGUGGCAAUUCUAGAGCUAAUACAUGCAGUGAGCCUGGAGCCCUUUGGGUAACGGGUGCUUUUAUUAGACCAAGAUCGAUCGGGUUUCGGCCCGUAUUGUGUGGUGACUCUGGAUAACUUUGUGCUGAUCGCAUGGCCACGAGCCGGCGACGUUUCUUUCAAGUGUCUGCCUUAUCAACUUUCGAUGGUAGGUUACUUGCUUACCAUGGUUGUUACGGGUAACGGAGAAUCAGGGUUCGAUUCCGGAGAGGGAGCCUGAG
rnacentral:rRNA from 1 species